rnacentral:rRNA from 1 species
GACGAACGCUGGCGGCGUGCUUAACACAUGCAAGUCGAGCGAGAAAGUCCCUUCGGGGGCGAGUACAGCGGCGAACGGGUGAGUAACACGUGGGCAACCUGCCCCAAGGAGCGGGACAACCUCGGGAAACCGGGGCUAAUACCGCAUGACCCGCCACGGCUCAAGCCGUGUCGGCAAAAAGGUCGCUUCGGCCUCCGCCUUGGGAUGGGCCCGCGGCGCAUUAGCUUGUUGGUGAGGGUAACGGCCCACCAAGGCGACGAUGCGUAGCUGGUCUGAGAGGACGAUCAGCCACACUGGGACUGAGACACGGCCCAGACUCCUACGGGAGGCAGCAGUGGGGAAUUUUGGACAAUGGGGGCAACCCUGAUCCAGCAAUGCCGCGUGCAGGAAGAAGGCCU